rnacentral:rRNA from 1 species
GCUACCGGAUUCAGCGGCGGACGGGUGAGUAAUGCUUAGGAAUCUGCCUAUUAGUGGGGGACAACGUUCCGAAAGGAGCGCUAAUACCGCAUACGUCCUACGGGAGAAAGCAGGGGACCUUUGGGCCUUGCGCUAAUAGAUGAGCCUAAGUCGGAUUAGCUAGUUGGUAGGGUAAAGGCCUACCAAGGCGACGAUCUGUAGCGGGUCUGAGAGGAUGAUCCGCCACACUGGGACUGAGACACGGCCCAGACUCCUACGGGAGGCAGCAGUGGGGAAUAUUGGACAAUGGGGGGAACCCUGAUCCAGCCAUGCCGCGUGUGUGAAGAAGGCCUUUUGGUUGUAAAGCACUUUAAGCGAGGAGGAGGCUACCUAGAUUAAUACUUUAGGAUAGUGGACGUUACUCGCAGAAUAAGCACCGGCUAACUCUGUGCCAGCAGCCGCGGUAAUACAGAGGGUGCGAGCGUUAAUCGGAUUUACUGGGCGUAAAGCGUGCGUAGGCGGCCAAUUAAGUCAAAUGUGAAAUCCCCGAGCUUAACUUGGGAAUUGCAUUCGAUACUGGUUGGCUAGAGUAUGGGAGAGGAUGGUAGAAUUCCAGGUGUAGCGGUGAAAUGCGUAGAGAUCUGGAGGAAUACCGAUGGCGAAGGCAGCCAUCUGGCCUAAUACUGACGCUGAGGUACGAAAGCAUGGGGAGCAAACAGGAUUAGAUACCCUGGUAGUCCAUGCCGUAAACGAUGUCUACUAGCCGUUGGGGCCCUUGAGGCUUUAGUGGCGCAGCUAACGCGAUAAGUAGACCGCCUGGGGAGUACGGUCGCAAGACUAAAACUCAAAUGAAUUGACGGGGGCCCGCAC